rnacentral:lncRNA from 1 species
AAGCAGCGAUCAUCCUGACUCUGCCAGUCCUUGGGCUCCUUUCACUUUGGCCUUCAGCCCUGGCAGUGGUGGCCAGCUCCCUAAGGGGUGGCGGCUCCUGCUUGAACAGGCCCAGCCUCGGGGCAGCUGCCAGGCCCAGGGAGCAGCUCUACCAGCGCCCAGCAGGCCUGGAGCAGACACUGGAGGUGCCCGGCCACCCAGGGGCAGGGAUUAAGACCCUAGGGUUCCUAAUCAGUGUUUGAAUCUUACAUCUUCUAGUGACAUGAUUGUGGGCAGAUUCUUCAACUUCCCAACCUUCAUCUGAAAAAUGGGUGGUUAUGAAGAUUGUAAAUUUCCAGGUAAAUGGCCUGAUAACAUACUGUGUGCCUGGCUCACACGGUGUGUUCAAAACAUGCUUGUUGUUAUGGUUACCAUCACAAAGAGGAAGGAAAUUCACUGAUCACACCCAUUUAUCUGACCUCUCAAAGCUCAGGGCUAAUGGGCUGGAAAUAGAAUCAUAAACCAGUUCCUUCCACCCCAUGAAUUCUUCCACUUUCUAACCUAUUUGUCAUUUGUUACAGACAUUUGUUUUUUCAAUCACUCUGAGACACUGAGACUUUCUCUGGAUGGUCUGAUUGAUGUAAAAUGCCAGGCUGGUUUCCUAGCUCUAAGGAGCCAGGAGGAAGGAAGCUGUUUCAGAGGCCUCUGCCUUGUCUCUUAAGUGUGGUCCCGCCUGUCAGGGCAGCUCUCUGUGCUGCCUCUGCAGCCCCUCCCCGCGUCCUUGAAGCAGGAGAUGCGGUCUUCCCAACACGGCGACGUGUGGGGCAUGUGACGGAGGCCUGGCCCAUAGAGCUCCACUCCUGAGGCUGGGGGAGAAAACCAAAUGCCCCUCAUGAGACAUGGCCUGGCACUCAUGGCCUUUGUGCUGUCCCGGUUCCACACACAAGAAGCAGGUGGCCACAGCUGUUGGGUGUACACACUGUGAAGUUCCCGGAGUACAGAGGAUGAGGUGUCGGGAGGAGAGAGGAUGGGAGAGGACCUCAGGGCACAGUGGUUACCAAUGGCGGCUGCCGUCUGGGGAGCUGAAGGAUGGGCAUGGCAUCAUGGGUCAGGAUGGAGGUGAAGGUUUGGAAGGAGCUCACAUCCAGUUUUAGCAAAGACAUUACUACUGUUACCCUAGCAAUGUCAAGUGCAGGGAUGUGCAAGAUGGAAGGUUGAACUUGAGAUGUCCAAGAGCAGAAGACCAGGCAUGGAGACUCUGAGGUCCCAGGAAAUGAGUCACCUCAGGCUUCUCAGAAGAAGAGCCCGCAGUCCAGGGACAAGCCCUGACUUCCAGGGGAGGGAGGCAUGAUUACUGCCUGCUGAGGGGGUGGGCGAAGUCAAUCGGGUGAGAAAGGCGAGCUAUGGCAGAGCUCUGGUCCUGCCUCUGUGACAGGGAGCGUCCAUCUGUCUGUCUGCCAGGAGUCCAGGUCUCUGGCCUGGAGCAGACCUGUGGCUUCCUCUCUUUAUGGGAUCAGGCAGAACUGUUCACUCCCUCAUCUGUUUUUUAAGCAGACUGUGAAGAUUAUCUGGUUAAUCUUCCUAAAGGUCUUUCUAAAAGAAAUCCAGUCAGUCAAAUAUUUACCUUUAUUUUCAAAACACAUUUCCUUUUUAAAUGAGCUUUUAUUUUGGAAUAAUUCUAGGUUUAGGGAAAAGCUGCAAAACUUUUUAUAGAAUUAUAAAAUACAGAAUUCCUGUAUUUCCUCCAUGGUGUUUCCACUAAUAUCAGCAGCUUGCAUUAUCGUAGUAUGUUAGUCAAAACUAAGGCGUUAACUGCAGAUGGUGACUGCAGCCAUGAAAUUAAAAGAUGUUUGUUCCCUGGGAGAAAAGCUAACUUAGCAUAUUAAAAAGCAGAGACAUUGCUUUGCCGACAAAUGUCUGUAUAGUCAAAGCUAUGGUUUUUCCAGUAAUUGUGUAUGGAUGUGAGAGUUGGACCAUAAAGAAGGCUGAGCAUUGAAGAAUUGAUGCUUUUGAACAGCUGUGUUGAAGAAGACAAUUGAGAGUCCUUUGGAUGGCAAGGAGAUCAAACCAGUCAAUCCUAAAGUAAACAGUCCUGAAUAUUCAUUGGAAGGACUGAUGCUGAAGCCAAAGCUUCGAAUACUUUGGCCACCUGACACAAAGAACUGACUUGUUGGAAAAGACCCCACUAGGAAAGAUUGAAGGCAGGAAGUGAAGGGAUGGCAGAGGAUGAGGUGGUUGGAUGGCAUCACUGACUCGAUGGACAUGAGUUUGAGCAAGCUCCGGGAGUUGGUGAUGGACAAGGAAGCCUGGCCUGCUGCAGUCUAUGGGGUCUCAGUCAGACUCGACUGAGUGACUGAACUGAACUGAGGGCGUUAACACUGGUGCAGUACUGCCAGUGAAGCUCCAGUCAUAUCUGAAUUUCAUCAGCUUUUCCACUAAUGUCCUCCUUCUGUUCCAAGAGCACAGCCAGGAUCCCACAUGGCACUUAGUCAUCAUGUCCCCAUGGUCUCGCCAGUCUUUGACAGUUUUUCAGGCUUUCCUUGUUUAUCACGACCUUGACGGUUCUGAAGAGUGCUGUCCACGUGUGCUGUAGAACGUGCCUUAGUUUGGAUUUGUCUGAUGUUUCUCAUGAUUAGACUAAGGUUAUGGGUUUUGAGGAAAAAUACCAACAGGCAAAGUGCAUGAGAGGGAUUUUUUUUUUUUUAAGAUUCUUAAAAAAAAAAGAUUCUUCAAUGCCUUUACUGCUAAUGGGAUGGUAUGAAUUUUCAAGAGGGAAAGCUGUUUCUUACAGAAACAAUUUCAAGAAAAAGAUAUCAUAAGGUAACUUUUCUUGUGUAGUCUUUCUUUUCCUACAUGUUUUCAUUGUUGCUGAUGUUUAGUCGCUCAGUCUUGCCUGACUCUUUUGCGACCCCAUGGACUGUAGCCUGCUAGGCUCCUCUGUCCAUUGUAUUCUCCAGGCAAGAAUACUGGAGUGGGUUGCCAUUUCCUUCUCCAGGGGGAUCUUCCAGACCCAGGGAUUGAACCCAUGUCUCCUACAUUGGCAGGCAUGUGCUUUACUGCUGAGCCACCAGGGAAGCCCCACAUAUUUUCAUCCUGACCCUACUUGCUAACCAGAUGUCUGGGUCUGUCCUCAAUGCUUUAAAGCUGGCUCAGCAAUAAAGGGUUUUGGCUUUUUCCUGCUCCUUCAGUAUAAACACCCACAGUGGUACUAGCUGCAGGGGGAGGGGCCAGAGUCAAAAAGGUGUUGAAUAUCGGUCUCUGAAGGUGACACAAACUGAAGCAAUUUGGUGUAGCUUGUGUCUGGUCCUUUUUGCUGGAUGAUGGUGGCCUCGAUGAUUUGGGACACAUGGAAGGGUACAGGUGCAUUCUGCCUCCCCCCAGCCCCGCCCGCCGCCCCGUCCCUACCAGGUGUGUGUAGCAAAGAGAGCAAGUCUUAGGCCACAUUCCCAAACAUGAACCAACUUCUGUUAGCAAGCAGGUAGAACACCAGUCUCUCCAGCUGUCCCCAAAAUUUGGGUAAGUCCCUGCUCUCUGUUCUUUCAGGCUCUCCAAUAAACACUUUGCAUGAAAGUUUCACUGGUGACAAAUGAAACUGUAUGCCAACAAUAAAUCAGCUUAAGCAAAUCAGAUGGCAGAAACCUCCAGGAAGUGGAAGGACUGAGUGAAGUGGGGUUGAGAACUCGGGUUUCCCUCUCUUCUACUCUUGACAGAACAGUGGUGCCCAUAUAAGUCCACCAUAUUCCCUCAACACCGCCCACUCCAGAAAUGAAAAGCUGCUUCCACAUCCCUUAGCCAGAGAGCACAGCCUCUGGUGAAGAUGGUGAGCAAGGUGUUUGAAGUUGCUGCAGUCUCCUCUGGGCUGGAAACUCCUGCCAGGGUUUUUUUGUUUAUUUAUUUGUUUUUUAAUGUUUGAUGUGUGAGUUCCUGAUUAAGAUACUUCAAAUACUAACUAAAAACUUUAGGCUGUGGAUUAAGAUUAAUGUACACACAGAUGUUAUCCUGUUAGAGAAAAUAUAAUGUAAGAAUGGGAAAUCAUUAUAAUAUAGUAUGACAGGAGCAGAUAAAGGUAUGAGAACCCAAAUGUGGAGGUGGAUGAGGUCUCACAAUGGGGGCUUAGAGAAAUUGCCAGAGAAGGCGCUCUAACACAGAGCUCCAGAGGAUGCGAGGCUGUCUCUCAGGGGCCACAGGGGGACGGGAAUUGCAGAUAGACGGGGUAGCCCUGGAAGGGCACAGAGGGAGGAAAGAAGAGCUGGGCAUGGGGCCCAGAGGGCAGGGGUGGUGGCAACAGAGGCUGAAAAGGUGAGGGGCUGCAAGUCUUGUAGGCGCUGGACACGAAGCUAUCUUGAAUCUUUGUAGAACAAAGAGCUUUAUCAGAAGGGUUUUAAGAACUGCAAUUUGGGAGACGCAGAUUGGGGAUAAAACCGAAAGACAGGGGCAAAAGCCAUGAGGCUGUUCUCUGGCAUAGGAAAUGAGUACGUGUUCAUAAGGGACAAGCUGCUGCGGGUUGAUUUAGGGUAGGGGUCCUGUCAGUGGAUGGGCUGUCGUGAGUGGGGCAAGGGUCUGACAAGAAUCUUGAGUUUCUAGCGGAUGUUCUGGCUAUCAUCCUUAGGAGAAGUGGUCAAAAGUUCAGAUUCCAUCCAGGCUGAGACGUGCAGAAGCCACACCUCCUCAGCGCCCACACUGUGGAGAAAAGCAGCUCCAUUCUGAUUUUCCUUCACUAAGGUCACCCAGUUAGAGGAAGGUGGAUCGGGGAGCCAUGAGAAGACGUGUAGUAGAACUGAAAACACAUGCCCAGGGGGACUUCCCUGACUGCCCAGUGGUUAGGAUUCUGCCCUUCUAUUGCAGGGGGCCCAGGGUUCAAUCCCUGGUGGGGAACUAAGAUCCUGCCUGUUGUAUGGCCAGGAAAAGAAAAAAAAAGGCAUGCUCAGAGUUCUGUUUGCAAGUGACCUCCUUGGCAAGUGACCUCCUUGGCUGUCACAUGGAAGGAAGGAGGAAAGGAACUAGAGUCAGGGUGAUCAGUUAGAACUUGUGUGUCUACGGUUCAGACAAACCUGAAGAUAGUGACGUGAAGGCGGAAUAAUAAAGUCACCUUGGUGAGCAUGUGCUGUGGAGCCAGGCUCUGUUCUAAGCAUGUUCCCUGUAUUAAGUCAUUUCUUCCCACAACUUUUAUUAUGUGUAUCAGCUUAUCAUCCCCAUUUUAGAAAUGAAGAAAGCAAGGCCCAGAGACAGUGACCCGAUGAAAUACGGAUGCCCCACGAUAU